rnacentral:rRNA from 1 species
UGGGGAAUUUUGGACAAUGGGCGAAAGCCUGAUCCAGCAAUGCCGCGUGAGUGAAGAAGGCCUUCGGGUUGUAAAGCUCUUUUGUCAGGGAAGAAACGGUGAGGGCUAAUAUCCCUUGCUAAUGACGGUACCUGAAGAAUAAGCACCGGCUAACUACGUGCCAGCAGCCGCGGUAAUACGUAGGGUGCAAGCGUUAAUCGGAAUUACUGGGCGUAAAGCGUGCGCAGGCGGUUUUGUAAGGCUGAUGUGAAAUCCCCGGGCUCAACCUGGGAAUUGCAUUGGAGACUGCAAGGCUAGAAUCUGGCAGAGGGGGGUAGAAUUCC